rnacentral:rRNA from 1 species
UACGUAGGGCGCAAGCGUUGUCCGGAAUUAUUGGGCGUAAAGGGCUCGUAGGCGGUUUGUCGCGUCGGCCGUGAAAUCUCCACGCUUAACGUGGAGCGUGCGGUCGAUACGGGCAGACUUGAGUUCGGUAGGGGAGACUGGAAUUCCUGGUGUAGCGGUGAAAUGCGCAGAUAUCAGGAGGAACACCGGUGGCGAAGGCGGUUCUCUGGGAAUAUCCUGACGCUGAGGAGCGAAAGUGUGGGGAGCGAACAGG